rnacentral:rRNA from 1 species
UACGAAGGGGGCUAGCGUUGCUCGGAAUCACUGGGCGUAAAGCGCACGUAGGCGGAUUGCUAAGUCAGGGGUGAAAUCCUGGAGCUCAACUCCAGAACUGCCUUUGAUACUGAAGAUCUUGAGUUCGGGGAGAGGUGAGUGGAACUGCGAGUGUAGAGGUGAAAUUCGUAGAUAUCGCAAGAACACCAGUGGCGAAGGCGGCUCACUGGCCCGAUACUGACGCUGAGGCACGAAAGCGUGGGGAGCAAACAGGG